UUUUGUUUUUUUUUUCCCUGAAGUUUCUCCAGGUACAUAAAGCAAAGCAGUCCAUGUAUUCUCUCAUAGCCUGUGCCCAUAGGGAGGGAGAUUCUGCUUGCUGGAUCUCCCUCACAGUGGCUGCUUCCAGAAUGUAUAUGACAUCAGAUACCAAAAAGAAACGUCUUGAAAAGGACAUUUGCAUUGCCCUUUUAUGUCAGAAUGCACCUGAGCUAGAAAUAGGAUAAUAUAAAAUGCAAGUACUGAGACAUGAUUAUGAUGAGGUCUCUGAACUCCUGGCUGGUUGCUCUGAGCACUGGACUUACACAGAGAGUUUUUCUCUUCAGUUCCCUCUUCAGUGCACUGUGGAUCAUUUCCAGUACAACACUCAUGAAGGUCUACCCCACAAAAAUCUGGGAGUGAUGGGAAGAUUACAUUCCCAUCAUCCCUAGGCAGAAAAGGAAAUCAGUUUACUGCCUUCAUCUGUCCUGAAAUUCUGUUCGGGUCUCUAGGAUACUGUAUAAAAUCCUGCUGCCACCACUAACAUUGCCAUUGUCAUUGUCAAAGAAGAUGCCCAAAUUUCAAUUUGAGAGUGGUUGCCUUGUGCUUUUUUCCAAAGGGCUCUGCAGUGUGGCAGGAGGCAGUGCCUGUGGCCAAAGGCAAGGUGCCCAAGGGCUAGAGGAGAAGGGAUGGGAAGAGGGAACAGCAGACUUGCAUAAUCAUGGCAAAUCCACAGUGGUGGAAGAGACCUCUGGAGAUCCUGUAAUCUGCCCAUUUGCUCAAGACACAUGCAACUACAGCAGGUCCCUCAGGCCUGAAUCCAGUCCUGUUUUUCAUAACACCAAUUAUGGAGAUUGAGGAUUUUUUAAUGCAGCCUUUCACCACUUACGUGGUGAAGGCUUUUUGUAUUUGAGUUUUGCUGAGGACCCCUUGAUCAUCCAUGACACCUCUGCUUGGCUUCUUGCACACAGGAAUGGACCAUUCUCUGUUUUCCAAUCCAAUAAGCAGAGACUGCCUGUCCCUCCUUCAGCUGGAGGGUCAGGCUCCUCUUGUAUCCAGAGCAUCCAGUCAGCCUCCUUUUCAUCAUCUGUGUAGCUCCAAAGCAUGCUGACCUCCUGCUGCAGCUCCUUCCCUUGGUCACAGAGGUGCUUCAUCAGCACAGACCUGCAGAAAAGGAGCCCCAGGAACACCCUGCAGCCUGAGAUUGCACAGCUGGGUCCUCCCUGUAGCAAGGGCCCCAACCCUCCAGUUGGUCUCUCACUCCUACUGAGCAAGAGAAGAGUCUCAUGGGUUGAGAUUAAGACAGGGACAUCAGUGACCCAUGACUCACAGGCAAACUAGACACAUAAUGGUGAAAAUUACACAUAUUGUCAAUUAAAAUAGGUUUGAAUGGUGAGAAAGAAAGAAACAAAACAAACCUUUCCUCCCUUUUCUCCAUGACACAAAGGUGUGUAGGGGUGGAGAUGGGCUGUGGUGAGUCCCUCCCGGCCCUUCCUGGCCACUCCACCCUCCUUCCCCUUCUCCCUGUCCUGGCACAGGCCCUUCCCUGGGCUACUGGAGUGUCUCUGCUCCAGCUGAGGUGCUGCCUGAGGGGGACCUCUGCCCUCCUCAUCCUCCAGACCUCCUCUUUGGGGUCCCUCUGCAGCUGCUCCCU
ensembl:lncRNA